rnacentral:rRNA from 1 species
UGGGGAAUCUUCCGCAAUGGGCGAAAGCCUGACGGAGCAACGCCGCGUGAGUGAUGACGGCCUUCGGGUUGUAAAGCUCUGUGAUCGGGGACGAACGGUCAGCAGACGAAUACUCUGCUGAAGUGACGGUACCCGAAUAGCAAGCCACGGCUAACUACGUGCCAGCAGCCGCGGUAAUACGUAGGUGGCAAGCGUUGUCCGGAAUUAUUGGGCGUAAAGCGCGCGCAGGCGGCUUCUUAAGUCCAUCUUAAAAGUGCGGGGCUUAACCCCGUGAUGGGAUGGAAACUGAGAGGCUGGAGUAU